AGUUAAUUAGCUUAUUGAAAAGCCCAUGUUUUGAAAACAUAAGACAAAGGUUUGAAUCCUUUAUUAACUU
rnacentral:tRNA from 1 species